GACGAACGCUGGCGGCGUGCUUAACACAUGCAAGUCGAACGGAAAGGCCCUGCUUUUGUGGGGUGCUCGAGUGGCGAACGGGUGAGUAACACGCGAGUAACCUGCCCUUGACUUUGGGAUAACUUCAGGAAACUGGGGCUAAUACCGGAUAGGAGCUCCUGCUGCAUGGUGGGGGUUGGAAAGUUUCGGCGGUUGGGGAUGGACUCGCGGCUUAUCAGCUUGUUGGUGGGGUAGUGGCUUACCAAGGCUUUGACGGGUAGCCGGCCUGAGAGGGUGACCGGCCACAUUGGGACAGAGAUACGGCCCAGACUCCUACGGGAGGCAGCAGUGGGGAAUAUUGCACAAUGGGCGGAAGCCUGAUGCAGCAACGCCGCGUGCGGGAUGACGGCCUUCGGGUUGUAAACCGCUUUCGCCUGUGACGAAGCGUGAGUGACGGUAAUGGGUAAAGAAGCACCGGCUAACUACGUG
rnacentral:rRNA from 1 species